UUCCGUAGGUGAACUGCGGAAGGAUCAUUAUUGAAUUAAACUGAAGUGAGUUGUUGCUGGCCCUUUGGGGCAUGUGCACGCUUGCUCUCAUUUAAACCACCUGUGCACAUAUUGUAGACUUGGAAUGAUCCUCAAGGCUUUCAUUAGCUUUGGUUUGAGGAAUUGCAUUAGCUUUCCUUGUAAUUCCUAGUCUACGUCUUCAUAUACCCCUAAUGUAUGUCUGUGAAUGUUAUUAAUGGGCCGUUAAAAAGCCUUUAAAAUUAAUACAACUUUCAACAACGGAUCUCUUGGCUCUCGCAUCGAUGAAGAACGCAGCGAAAUGCGAUAAGUAAUGUGAAUUGCAGAAUUCAGUGAAUCAUCGAAUCUUUGAACGCACCUUGCGCUCCUUGGUAUUCCGAGGAGCAUGCCUGUUUGAGUGUCAUUAAAUUCUCAACCUCUUNAGUUUGUCUAACAAACUUGAAUUGGCUUGGAUAUGGGAGUUGCGGGCUUCUAAGCAAGUCGGCUCUUCUUAAAUGCAUUAGCAGAACUUUUGUUGACCAUCAUUGGUAUGAUAAUUAUCUAUGCCAUUUCUGAUGUGAAGCANUUUAUAAUAAAGUUCAGCUUCUAACUGUCCAUUGACUUGGACAAUUUAUUGACUAUUUGACCUCAAAUCAGUANGACUACCCGCUGAACUUAANCAUACAUA
rnacentral:rRNA from 1 species